CUACGGGGGGCACCAGUGAGGAAUAUUGGUCAAUGGUCGCAAGACUGAACCAGCCAUGCCGCGUGCAGGAAGACGGUCCUAUGGAUUGUAAACUGCUUUUAUACAGGAAGAAACCCUCCCACGUGUGGGAGCUUGACGGUACUGUAGGAAUAAGGAUCGGCUAACUCCGUGCCAGCAGCCGCGGUAAUACGGAGGAUCCAAGCGUUAUCCGGAAUCAUUGGGUUUAAAGGGUCCGUAGGCGGCCUUAUAAGUCAGUGGUGAAAGCCCAUCGCUCAACGAUGGAACUGCCAUUGAUACUGUAAGGCUUGAAUUUUUGUGAAGUAACUAGAAUAUGUAGUGUAGCGGUGAAAUGCUUAGAUAUUACAUGGAAUACCAAUUGCGAAGGCAGGUUACUAACAAACGAUUGACGCUGAUGGACGAAAGCGUGGGGAGCGAACAGGAUUAGAUACCCGCGUAGUC
rnacentral:rRNA from 1 species